rnacentral:rRNA from 1 species
GGGAUAGGGCCUCGCUGCCUUGCCCGUCUGGCGCCAUAUUCACCCAUGUCUUUUUGCGUACUACUUGUUUCCUUGGCGGGUCCGCCCGCCAAUUGGACCUUAUUCAAACCUUUUUUUCAGUUGCAAUCAGCGUCAGCAAAACAAAUGUAAUCAAUUACAACUUUCAACAACGGAUCUCUUGGUUCUGGCAUCGAUGAAGAACGCAGCGAAAUGCGAUAAGUAGUGUGAAUUGCAGAAUUCAGUGAAUCAUCGAAUCUUUGAACGCACAUUGCGCCCUUUGGUAUUCCAAAGGGCAUGCCUGUUCGAGCGUCAUUUGUACCCUCAAGCUUUGCUUGGUGUUGGGCGUCUUGUCUCUCUCCCGAGACUCGCCUUAAAAUCAUUGGCAGCCGGCCUACUGGUUUCGGAGCGCAGCACAUUAUUUGCGCUCUUGUCCAGCCGCGGUCGCGCGUCCAUGAAGCUUCUUUCAACCUUUUGACCUCGGAUCAGG